rnacentral:rRNA from 1 species
CCCUUAGAUGUCCGGGGCCGCACGCGCGCUACACUGAUGCAUUCAACGAGCCUAUCCUUGACCGACAGGUCCGGGUAAUCUUUGAAUCUGCAUCGUGACGGGGAUAGAUUAUUGCAAUUAUUAAUCUUCAACGAGGAAUGCCUAGUAGGCGCAAGUCAUCAGCUUGCGUCGAUUACGUCCCUGCCCUUUGUACACACCGCCCGUCGCUCCUACCGAUUGGGUGUGCUGGUGAAAUGUUCGGAUCGGCCGUUUGUCGCGGUUUCCGCGGCUCGUGGCUGAGAAGUUCAUUAAACCCUCCCACCUAGAGGAAGGAGAAGUCGUAACA